AGAGUUCCUGGCCUGGCUGAAAGAGAAUCAUGCAGGUGAAUGGGUCAGUGUGCGUCUGCUCCUGCCAGCAUGAGCAGGUUUGAUGUUCCAUGGUCUGCUGAUCCCCUUGUCUAGGAAGUACAACACUCUGAGAUAUGGCAGCUUUCCCAGGAUUAUUGCUGAGAAGCAUGAGGGAAAACUAAGAUACUGUAGCACAUACGGAUCCUUGAUGAAUCUGCUUUGGUGGCAAGCCUGUGCAUCUUCUGGCAUCUUCUGUGGGAGUGACGCUCUUUGUUAAUGCAGAGGAUUUCCAGGAGCAAUGUUCUGGAGAAAUAGAUUCUGCAAGAGUGACCCGGGGUCCUGUUAUAUCAAG